AUGGCAAACGUAUCCGUUGACAAAGAAACGUUCUUUCGACGUAUGAAACGGCUCUAUUCCGCGUGGAAAGAUGGAGAAGUCGGUACAGAUGACAGUUUUAGUAAAAUGGAUUGUCUCGUUUCUGCAGUGGGCACAGACGAGGAUAUCGUUUACAGCAAAUCAACGGCGUUACAAACUUGGCUCCUUAGUUACGAACUUACAGACACUAUAAUGAUCUUAGCAGAAGAGUCUAUUUGCUUCUUAGCUAGCAAGAAAAAAAUUGAAUUUCUAAGGAAACUUGAAAAUCAGAAAGCAGAAGAGACUGGUGUACCCCCUGUGAAACUGCUUGUAAGAGAUAGAAAUGACGAGGAUAAAGCUAAUUUUGCUAAACUUAUUGAGACUAUAAAACAAAGUAAAAAGGGUAAAACAUUGGGUGUUUUUUCAAAAGAAAAUUAUCCAGGUGCCUUUAUGGAUGCAUGGAGAGCUGCUUUGAAAUCAGAAUCUUUUGAUACGGUUGAUGUUAGUGCUGCAGCUGCAUAUGUAAUGUGUCCUAAAGAGGAUGCUGAGAUUCUUACAAUAAAAAAGGCAUGUCUGGUGUCUGUAGAUGUUUUCACAAAGUACCUUAAAGAUCAGAUCAUGGAAAUAAUUGAUUCUGAUAAGAAAGUUAAGCAUUCAAAGCUUGCAGAAGGCGUAGACGCGGCUAUAACGAAUAAGAAAUAUGUAACCGGUGUCGAUGUUACCCAAGUAGAUAUGUGUUAUCCUGCGAUAAUACAGAGCGGUGGAAAUUACUCACUAAAAUUCAGUGUUGUUAGUGAUAAAAAUACUUUGCAUUUCGGUGUCAUUGUAUGUUCUCUCGGAGCACGUUACAAAUCUUAUUGUUCUAACAUAGUUCGGACGUUAUUAGUAAAUCCCACUAAGCAGAUCGAGGAUAAUUAUAACUUCCUUUUACAAUUGGAAGAGGAGAUUCUAAAGAAACUGAUAGCUGGAGUAAAAAUCAGCGAAGUAUAUGAAACAGGUGUGAAAUAUGUAAAGGAUGAGAAACCAGAAAUGCUAGAUCAUUUAACCAAAAAUUUCGGAUUUGCUAUGGGUAUUGAAUUUAGAGAGAGUUCGUUACUUAUUGGUCCAAAAACUCAUGCGGUAAUAAAGAAAGGCAUGGUGUUCAAUGUAAAUGUUGGAUUGGCAAAUCUUUCAAAUCCAGAUGCUACUGAGAAGGAAGGAAAAGUCUAUGCUCUUUUUAUUGGCGAUACUGUUAUGGUUAAUGAGGGACAACCUGCGGUAAACUUGACACCAUCGAAGAAAAAGCUGAAAAAUGUUGGGAUAUUUGUUAAAGACGAAGAAGAAGAGGAAGAGGAGGGCAGUGGAAAAGAAAAUGAACCUAAGCCGGAAAUUCUGGGCCGCGGUAAAAGAACAGCGGUGAUAGAAUCGAAAUUAAGAACAGAACAUAGCUCGGAAGAGAAAAGGAAACAGCAUCAGAAAGAACUUGCACAACAAUUGAACGAAGUUGCGAAAGCUCGAUUGGCUCAGCAAUCCGGUGGCAAGGAACAAGAAAAGAUACGAAAAUCAACGAUAUCGUAUAAAAGCCUUAGUCACAUGCCACGGGAACCGGAAGUAAAAGAGCUUAAAUUAUAUGUGGACAAAAAAUAUGAAACUGUAAUUCUACCCAUUUUUGGUAUCCCUGUACCAUUCCACAUAUCCACAAUCAAGAACAUUUCUCAGUCUGUAGAAGGAGAUUAUACGUAUCUCAGAAUAAAUUUUUUUCAUCCUGGUGCGACAAUGGGUCGCAACGAAGGUGGAUCUUAUCCUCAGCCUGAUGCCACCUUCGUUAAAGAAGUAACAUAUCGAAGUACAAACACAAAAGAACCCGGUGAAAUUUCAGCGCCAUCAUCCAAUCUGAACACAGCCUUUAGACUGAUAAAAGAAGUCCAAAAGAAAUUCAAAAACAGGGAAGCAGAAGAAAGAGAAAAAGAGGAUCUCGUGAAACAAGACACUUUAAUAUUGUCACAAAAUAAGGGUAACCCGAAAUUGAAAGACUUGUACAUUCGACCAAACAUUGUCUCAAAAAGAAUGACUGGGGGUUUAGAAGCGCAUGUAAACGGUUUUCGUUACACUUCUGUCAGAGGAGACAAAGUUGAUAUUCUUUACAAUAAUAUUAAGAAUGCCUUUUUCCAACCAUGUGAUGGUGAAAUGAUCAUAUUACUUCAUUUUCAUUUAAAGCAUGCAAUAAUGUUUGGUAAAAAGAAACACGUGGAUGUACAAUUUUAUACCGAGGUCGGUGAAAUUACAACAGAUUUAGGGAAACAUCAACACAUGCACGAUCGUGAUGAUCUUGCCGCGGAACAAUCAGAACGAGAACUUAGGCACAAAUUAAAAACUGCGUUUAAAAGUUUUUGUGAGAAGGUUGAAAGUAUGACGAAGCAAGAAAUUGAAUUCGACACACCGUUUAGAGAACUAGGAUUCCCUGGCGCCCCAUUCCGAAGUACUGUUCUUUUGCAACCAACCAGUGGUUGUUUGGUUAAUCUCACAGAAUGGCCUCCGUUUGUUAUUACUUUAGAGGAUGUUGAACUUGUUCAUUUCGAAAGAGUGCAAUUUCACCUGAAGAAUUUUGAUAUGAUUUUUGUUUUCAAAGAUUAUCAUAGAAAAGUUGCCAUAUUAAAUGCUAUCCCUAUGAACAUGCUGGAUCAUGUAAAGGAAUGGUUGAAUUCAUGCGACAUUAGAUACACAGAGGGUGUACAAUCUUUGAAUUGGACAAAGAUCAUGAAAACGAUCACAGAUGAUCCUGAAGGUUUCUUUGACAAUGGUGGUUGGACCUUCUUGGAUCCAGAAAGUGAUGCAGAAAAUGAAGAUCUGGAAGAUGAAGAAGAAGAAGAGGAUGAUGCUUACGAGCCAACUGAUUUGGACAGCGAAGAAGAAUCCGACGAUGACUCUGAAUACUCUGAAGCUUCGGAAGACUCUGAUAGCGAAGAAGAAGAACUAGGUAGCUCUGAAGAAUCAGGUAAAGACUGGUCAGACUUGGAACGAGAAGCAGCUGAAGAAGAUAAAGAAAGAGGGGAAGAUGGAUUCCGCGAUGAUUAUAAUUCUAGCAAGAAAAAGAAAUCAAGUCGAAAACAUUCACCUUCACCUUCAAAGGAUAGGCAUAAUUCAAAACACAAAAGUUCUUCCAGUUCGAAAAGUAAAAGUUCGUCCAGUAGUAAAGAUAAAAAAUCAUCGUCAUCCGAUAAGCACAGAUCGGAUCGAUCGCGGAGCGGGAGAUCACACAAGAAAGUAUCUCCUUCUACGUCAUCCAAACACAGUCCUAAGAAGAGUGAUAGACACGACAAACAUGAUAAACGCGACAAACAUAAAUCGUCCAGCCAUUCUUCAUCUAACAGUAAGAAACGAUCUCGCGAAGAGAGUUCAGAAAGAAACGACAGAGGAUCAAAGAAAUCUAAAAAAUGAGAACAAUUAUCCAAAUAUGAGAGAUAAAAGCACACCUGAAAACACGAACAUCAUGUUGGUUCUACAUUAAGCUUUCUUACUUGUGGGCUAGAGAAAUUUUUACAAGGAAACGAUGACAAUCGGGGAAGAAAGAAACGAAUCUAAUUUCGUCCUAUCUGAUCGAUCUGAGUCUGAAGAUUGUUCACGACUUCCGGAGGAACGUGCUCUCCCAGAAUUUCAAAAAGAUUGAUCUUUUGAUCACCAGGAAUUGAUUCGUAUGCAGCCAGUUCUAUACCCUCUUGUACCUUUUGUAUUGUCGCAUCUUUUGGAAUAAGAUAGGUAUUCUGUGCUUGUUUUAUAGCCUCGUUACUAAAAAUUUGACCAUCUUUUUGAGGAAAUGUUACCGCUGAUGCUAUCACGGAUAACAAUAUUAACAGUGUACGGAUUUCCAUCUGAAAAGGAAACAAAUACUGAUUAGCUACUUUUUGUUUCACUUCUAUCUUUUAAUAAUUGUAUUAUAUUUACCGUCUCCUAUAUUGAAUUGUACAAAUUUUCAUUGAUAUUCUUCAUGUUAAGACUUACGAAUGUGUACAAGUGCGAUUUAGUAAAAUAUUAUAAUACAAAUAUAGUACUUAAUAGAAUAAGUACAAAUUACAAGAACAUUACUUUUUGCUAGUGACAAUUUACUGUAAUUCAGUUUCCCAUAAAUGAAAGAAAUAGUAGCAGUAGAUGAAUUAACAUUUUAUAAUUUUGAACAGCUCAUUAAUUUUAAUUCUUUAGAAGGUUGCUUCCACACUUUCACUAUAAGAUGGUAAGUGAUGCCAGGUAAGUAACGUGGACGACGUACUUUCUCACCCGUUUGGUCUUAAACAGAAGUUAGAAAUAUUAACUUACGUUUAUUCACUGUCAAAGCCGUGCGAAUGUAAAGCAGUGAGAACGUUGGUCGACCGUUGAUAACUAACAGAAAGAAAGUAUAGUUCCCAGCUGAUUCCACGCAACUCGUUAACGUUCCAGGGUUAAUUGGUAAAAGGAAGUAGGUCUCGCAAUCGCAAAAAACCGAUCUGGGAUGAAUGUUGCUCACGUUGGGAGUAUCGUGUUUCACAAUCGGUUGCCACGAAGCGAAACUAAGCGCGCGGCCGGCAGAAGCGGCUUUUAUACUGGAGAUGGUCACUGUGGUUGCGGUAGCACACCACUCUUGGGCAUACAGUAAAGAUCCACCUUCCAAUUUCUUAAAAGUUGCAGGAAGAGACGCGUGAUCAUCACUUUUGCUUUCGUUUGCCCGGCGAACCGUUCAUUCUUGGUGAACGAUAAAUGGUAACAUUGGUUCGCAAUCGAUGCGGUAUUACCGUAAUGUCACGUUUCACGGUUCAUUGAAAUAACUGCAAUUCAUGGCUAUUUAUCUAGCACGAGUUUUUGCAAGUUUCUUGUGAAAAAUAUGAUUGCCUGUUCUGUAGAGAUUAUACAGAGCAAGUUGCAUAUAUUGAUUAUAAGCAGAGGUACUUUGGAUUCAACAAAGCCGUUACACGAUGUAACUCUUUUAACCAUUUCUCUUUACGCUUUUACAAAUACCAUUGCACGACCCGCCAUGAAUAUUAGUGACCUGUUAACCAAUAUGUAGUGAUUGAAAUAAACUCGUUUCACUUUUACCAUUGUCCUCAGGCUAGUAACAAGAUUCAAGUGUGUUGCUUACAUAGUAUUAAUGCCCCAACCUUUCCAUAAAAUAUUUUAUUUUUUCAAUCGUCUAACCUGCGAAAUUUAUCAGCAAUAAAUAGCAACAAAUUUGCAGCGCUAAAAAUUAAACGAGAUUCUUGUAAAUAAACUGUGUAGGUAUAAAAAAGCUUGAAAUAUUAAUCCAUAAAUUAUACAGCAAUAAAUUGAAGCCAAUUUAGAAAUUCCUUGUAUAGAUUUGGAGUGGUCGCAAUUUAUUAUGCAUGUAUAAACUAUACAUUGAUUUGUGUAUCAUAAAUAUAAGACGGAAAAUGAAUUUAUUCAUCAUCAUAGAUUCAAUUCUUUGUUAAUUUUAUCUUAAUUAAACAUUAAUUUACGGGUAUUAAUCUUUAAAAUGCAAUUAUUUUAAAUAGUAUAUGCUGGAAAUUUUGCCAAAUGUGGAUGUUGUAUAUCGAUCAAGAAAUAAAUAGUACCGGCAAGACCUAUAAUAAUACAUACGUAUACUAUUAAAAAAUACUAACAGUGGGAUACAUAUGAUAACUGAUAGUAAAAUACCUUCAAACAAUGAAUAUGGUCUAUCAGGAAUCCUAGUCUGAUGUGCUUUAUAAUCCGUACACCACUCUGCAAACCUACAAGCCCUAUAUAGAUGUUUCACAUCCUGAAAAGCAAUACCAAUAUUUGAUUAGGACUUAUUGCAAUAUUGUUAUAUUCUUUUAUAAAUUAAAUGUAACCUUAGUCUUUUGGAAGAGGGUUAAGAAUGUAUAUGCAUUUCCAGCUGCUCCAUGACAUAUUCCACACCCUUUUUUAAGCAAACCUCUUGCCCAAACUACUUCUCCGCAUUGUAAAGCAGUAUUUAAAUACUGCUCAUCCUGAUAUAUCUGCUCAAAUAGACAUUUAAUUAAAUACAAACAACUUAACAAAAUCGGAAACAACAUCAAUCAAAUAGUGACCACCUCAUAAGCCAAAGUAAAUAACAUAAUCAUUCCAGGCGCUCCAUGGCACCAAUGCACCAAUUUAUCAGUACGACUUCCAAUAGAAGAUGGACAAUUUCCAGAAGGAUACCGUAAACUCUGAAGAAAAUCUAAUGCCGGUUUUAUGUCUCUUGUCAGUUGACUCUGUGUUAAAUACUGCCGUGCCUACGGAAUAAAUGUGUUUCUGUGUAAUCUAUAUUAUUACUUAAGUAAAUUACAAAAGUAAAA